rnacentral:rRNA from 1 species
GACGAACGCUGGCGGCGUGCUUAACACAUGCAAGUCGAACGGAAAGGCCCUGCUUUUGUGGGGUGCUCGAGUGGCGAACGGGUGAGUAACACGUGAGUAACCUGCCCUUGACUUUGGGAUAACUUCAGGAAACUGGGGCUAAUACCGGAUAGGAGCUCCUGCUGCAUGGUGGGGGUUGGAAAGUUUCGGCGGUUGGGGAUGGACUCGCGGCUUAUCAGCUUGUUGGUGGGGUAGUGGCUUACCAAGGCUUUGACGGGUAGCCGGCCUGAGAGGGUGACCGGCCACAUUGGGACUGAGAUACGGCCCAGACUCCUACGGGAGGCAGCAGUGGGGAAUAUGGCACAAUGGGCGGAAGCCUGAUGCAGCAACGCCGCGUGCGGGAUGACGGGCUUCGGGUUGUAAACCGCUUUCGCCGGUGACGAAGCGUGAGUGACGGUAAUGGGUAAAGAAGCACCGGCUAACUACGUG